ACGAACGCUGGCGGCAUGCCUAACACAUGCAAGUCGAACGCGACCUUCGGGUCUAGUGGCGCACGGGUGCGUAACGCGUGGGAACCUGCCUUUAGGUUCGGAAUAACUCAGAGAAAUUUGAGCUAAUACCGGAUGAUGUCUUCGGACCAAAGAUUUAUCGCCUUUAGAUGGGCCCGCGUUGGAUUAGCUAGUUGGUGGGGUAAAGGCCUACCAAGGCGACGAUCCAUAGCUGGUCUGAGAGGAUGAUCAGCCACACUGGGACUGAGACACGGCCCAGACUCCUACGGGAGGCAGCAGUGGGGAAUAUUGGACAAUGGGCGAAAGCCUGAUCCAGCAAUGCCGCGUGAGUGAUGAAGGCCUUAGGGUUGUAAAGCUCUUUUACCCGAGAUGAUAAUGACAGUAUCGGGAGAAUAAGCUCCGGCUAACUCCGUG
rnacentral:rRNA from 1 species